CUUGUACUCCCUCUGUCCGAAAAUACUUGUCAUUGAAAUGGAUGUAUCUAGAUGUAUUUUAGUUCUAGACACAUCCAUUUUGAUGACAAGUAAUUCCGGACNAGACACAUCCAUUUUGAUGACAAGUAAUUCCGGACGGAGGGAGUACUUG
rfam:Triticum aestivum genome assembly, contig: Triticum_aestivum_CS42_TGACv1_scaffold_005525_1AL